UACCGGGAAGUCUUAUCAAGGGAUAUGGGUGAAGGGUCAGAGACAUGGAAUGGGAGUAAUGACUUUUGCAGAUGGGUCUACAUAUUCAGGGAGGUGGGGGAAAAAUAAUUAUCACGGCUGGGGAACGUUUAAAAACAUUGGCGAUGGGAC
rnacentral:ribozyme from 1 species